CAGGUCUUCCAGCCGGUCACGUGACUGAAAGCUGCCACUCACUAAAAAUAGUGCAGUAAGAACUGUAGGCAUCAGUGCUCCAAACAUGAGAAAGAGCAUUGAGAAGAAGAGGAAACCAGUGUUGUUGAAGACUUUGCUGGCAUCAUUGCCAAUAUUGAGAUGGGUUAGCAGUGGAGCUUCCUGUGGCUGUGUUCCUCCAUUACACAGGCUUUCCUCCACAGUAAUACUAACUGACCCAAGAUCAGAUGCCUUCACUGCCAUUCCAAAGAUCUAAAGAGAGCAAAAAUCAUUCA